AACAAACGCUGGCGGCGUGCCUAAUACAUGCAAGUCGAACGGGGAAAGCUUUCGGGUGAGUACUAGUGGCGCACGGGUGAGGAACGCGUGGGUAAUUUUCCUUGAAGUGGGGGAUAACUAGUCGCAAGAUUAGCUAAUACUGCAUAAGACCACGAAAUCUGAGGAUUUUGAGGUAAAAGGUUUUUCGCUUCAAGAUAAGCCGGCGUAAGAUUAGCUAGUUGGUGAGGUAAUGGCUCACCAAGGCGACGAGCUUUAGCUGGUCUGAGAGGAUGAUCAGCCACACGGGAACUGAGACACGGUCCAGACUCCUACGGGAGGCAGCAGUAGGGAAGAUUGCACAAUGGAGGAAACUCUGAUGCAGCGACGCCGCGUGAGUGAUGAAGGACUUCGGUUCGUAAAGCUCUGUCGCAUGGGAAUAAUAAAUGAAGGUACCAUGCAAGAAAGGAUCGGCUAACUUCGUGCCAGCCGCCGCCGUAA
rnacentral:rRNA from 1 species